CACUCCUGCGGGAGGCAGCAGUGGGGAAUAUUGCACAAUGGGCGCAAGCCUGAUGCAGCCAUGCCGCGUGUAUGAAGAAGGCCUUCGGGUUGUAAAGUACUUUCAGCGGGGAGGAAGGCGAUAAGGUUAAUAACCUUGUCGAUUGACGUUACCCGCAGAAGAAGCACCGGCUAACUCCGUGCCAGCAGCCGCGGUAAUACGGAGGGUGCAAGCGUUAAUCGGAAUUACUGGGCGUAAAGCGCACGCAGGCGGUCUGUCAAGUCGGAUGUGAAAUCCCCGGGCUCAACCUGGGAACUGCAUUCGAAACUGGCAGGCUAGAGUCUUGUAGAGGGGGGUAGAAUUCCAGGUGUAGCGGUGAAAUGCGUAGAGAUCUGGAGGAAUACCGGUGGCGAAGGCGGCCCCCUGGACAAAGACUGACGCUCAGGUGCGAAAGCGUGGGGAGCAAACAGGAUUAGAAACCCGUGUAGUCCCAUG
rnacentral:rRNA from 1 species